UGUUUGCGAUAGGGUCUCUCAACUGUGCAGCUGAAAGAACCUAGUGGGGAAACCCCCACUCAAUUCUCGAUUUGGCAUGCACCCAAGAAUCACGAACAGACGA
rnacentral:pre_miRNA from 7 species